UAAUAAUUUGCUUGGAAGGAAGAACUGUCAGCCUUCCAAAGAAGAAAAAAAAAAACCCUUCCUAUUCAUGUCUGCCUUUGUCUCUUUUGUUCUUUUUUUGUUAAGCAAAUAUAUUUCUGCCCAUCAGUUGGGUUCACUCUGAUGUUAUGGCUUCAGUCAUUGAACAUGCCACCACUAAUGAAUAUAAUUUAAAUUUCUAUGAGCAGAAGACUACUGUAAAAAUAGCUUUUUAACUAAAAUGUUGAAACUUUUAUUAAAUGUAUAAAUAUUAGCUCAGUCAAAUCACUAUUAAGAGAAAAUUUAAAUUCUGUCUUAGUUUGGAAGUCUGUAUAAUGGUACAUCCAAUUUCUCCUUUUCAUUGGAACUUAGCAAGUAAAAUAAUUCUUUGUACUUGACCUAACAAGAUUAUUUCCGGGGAUUCAUAAAUGCAGACUGUACUUAGUACCUAGCUUCUAGAUAACCAUUAAACUCUCUCACAACAAGUGGAUGACUUUAAAAAGAAGCUUGUAAUGUAGUCAUGACUGCUUCCCCCAGUCUUUCUCUAGGUACUCAUACAGAUGACUGCAGACAAAAAUGAAAGAACAAUUUGAAUACAGAUAUCAAAAAGCCAGAAGCCAGAAUCAACAAACCCAAGGACUGAAUCAGCUAUGAGGUCAUUUGGUCUAGAUUUGCUUUAUGGAGGGGAAGACUGUUGCCCAAAGAGGUGGUGUGACUUGCUGGAUGGGAGAACCAGAGCAUGAGUCUCAUUCAGCUCCUAAAGCUCCCUGGUGGAUGGCGAGGCUCAGGGAAAUGGCUGUGAGAAGGGAAGGGAUAUAUAUGAAGGAGGGAAGGUGUCUGACUUCUGCUCUUUCUUCCCUAAAACUCUACAGAGUCAGAAACAGCUCAGAGGCUGCUCCCCACAGCUCCCCUGUACCUGUCAGUUAAGACCACACGACACUGCAACAUGAGUACUGAGAAUUCUUGUAUGCCCUACUCCCAGUUUUCUCCAAUGGUAACAUCGUCCAUAACCAUGGUAUAUGGUCAAAACUGGGAAUUGAAAUUGGCACAGUGCUAUUGAUUCAGGUAAAAACCUUACCCGGAUUUCCACAUUUUUUACAUGAAUGUGGUGUAUGUAUAGUUUCAUAAAAUUUUAGGUUCUGGUAACCAUCACCACAAUCAGGAUACAAAACUGUUCUUUCACAAUUGAGAAGUGACUUCAUGUUACCUUUUAAUAAUUUCAUCCUUUCGCCAGCCCUAACCCCUGGCAACUACUGAUCUGUUCUUCAUUACUAUAAUUUUGUAAAUUGAGGAAAGUUAUAUAAAUGGAAUCAUAAAAUGUUUAACCCUUUGGCAAUGGCUUUCAACAUGCAUCAUAAUUCCCUUGAGAGCCAUCCAAGUUGUUUGCAUGUAGCAGUCAUUUGUUCGCUCCUAUUGCUGAGUUGCAUCCCUUGGGAUGGUUGUAUCACCGUUUCCUUAUCUGUUUACUUGUUGAAGGACAUUUGAGUUGUUUCUCAUUUGGGGCUAUAGAAGUAAAUAGGGGUUUGGGGUUUAUAUAAGGAAAUAGAACUUCUAUAAACAUUUACGUACAGGUUUUUGUGGGAACAUACUACUUUCAUUUCUCUUGAAUACAUACUGAGGAGUGCAAUUG
rnacentral:lncRNA from 1 species